UUGGUAUGACCUUCAUCUUGCUGGUGACA
rnacentral:piRNA from 1 species